CUUCCUGAAUGAGGGACCCCUCGCUUUUGAGAAGAGUCCAACUUUUAAGUUCUGGUCAUGGCCUGGUCCUUUGGUUCUGUAGGGAGGAGAAUCUUUGGUUCUGCAGUCAUUUCUAGUCAAUAUUUCUUCUUCGGUGCAUGCUCUGGGCACAUGGCUUUGCAAACUUUCUGAAGGGAAAUUCUUAAUCACCCUGUUGAUAAGAUGGGGUCAGUUGAACUGGUCCCGGAGGGCCCAUAGUUACAUGCUGAGUGAACAGUUAGAUGUAGAAAUGAGGGAUAGGAAGAAAGUUAGAAAUCCAACUGAGUCUCUAGCUUGAAGAUCUGAAAUAGGGAAUGUGGGCAGGAGCAGAUACUUAUGGAGAAAUUGACACUUUUUGAGCUCCUACUAUGUGCCAGAGUUUGCUAGACACUUAGCAUAACUGUUGGCAUUUAGGCAGUCAAGAAAUAGCAUUCUUAUUUUUCUCCCCAACUUGGAAACCAUUGAAGGAUACAACACAAGAGUUAGUCACAUGGAGAUCAAAAUCUCUGGCCAGCUUUAGGAAAGGCUAUGGAUACAAUAACAGCAUGAAUGGACCAGCAGAGUAAAGUCCCAUGACGCCCAGGCACAGCUUCUGAGGUCCCCUACACUCUGCACUUGGAAUGCGAUGAAGGGAUUUUACUAGGUGAAGAUUCCUUUGUCAGCUGCUCUUGGAGCCUGUACUCCAGCACCAGCUCCACUGAAGGCAACAAGGACCCAGUGACUCCCAUGCUGGUGAUCCUGGGUGCCACAGCAUCUGGGCAGAGUAUAGAGAAGACAUGUUCCCUGAUUUUAACUGAAAGCAGUGGUUCCCGUUUAUUAUAGGAAACACUGGCAUUUGUCAUUUUUCCAAUAUUUGGAGCUUGCUGCCUUAAUAAAUGCACAUAUCAGAUGAUGCUCUCUCCCUGUCUGAUGGGCGGAUGCUGUUGGGCAGAAGAAGGUCACAGUGAUGUUAAAUUUGCUGCUGAGCAAAGGAUCAAAGUGUAAAUGGAAUCCUGAAAGCUGGGAAAUGAUUCCAAAGCACAGAGGCAACAAUCCUAAACACUUGAGGUCUUUGGACGGAAGUGGUGCUUCAGAACUUUCAAGAACCAUGGCUCUGCUGCCCUGGUAGGAACUUUAUAUUGAGAAGACACAAAGCUGACAUCUCUUUCCUUUUUAGCAUCUGUUACAUAAACAGGGUGAAUAGCUACAGGGUUCCCAGAUUGUGAAGGAAGCAGCGAACCCGCUUCCUCCUCACUAGCCAGCGUAACUGACAGCACUUAGCUCCCUGCAUCCUUGCUGCCUCGGUUCUGAAGGGAAGCAUUGUGGUGCGGCCUUCCUGACACUGAGGUGCUGACAACAGGCAGACCUAGGCAAGGAGUGUCAUCAGGAAGAGAGCAGAGGAAGGAAGCCUGGUGCUGUGAGAAUGAAGAUAAUAAAGG
rnacentral:lncRNA from 1 species